AAUUCAAAUUUUACAAAUCUCUGUAGAUAAAUGUCUUUUAAUUAUUGUGUUUGCUGAGACUGUUUUUUGUAAAACACAAAUACAUAGUGAAAUGUGUAUUUUGAAAUAAAACUCAAUUUGAUAAUGGAAAAGCUUAGAAAGGAGUAUUUAGAUUUGGUUUACCAUGAAAUUAAAAUACUUUUUUUAGUUGAACAACUAGUCUGAAGUUUUUACUCCUUAAGAACAAACAUAUUAGAUGAUUGGAUUCUGUCUCUGAGUAAUGCAAGAAUAAUAAAUAAGCAUCAAAACUCAGAGAAUCGUAAAAUGAAUGAAUUCUGGGCAAUAAAAUUUCUGGAAUCAAUUUGAUCUGAAGUCAGAACUUAUCAACAUUCUAAUUGUCUAGAUUUGUCAUUCUGUUAGAGAUAGCUGAUUCAUAAAGGAAUUCUGGGUCACAGAAUAUAAAUGACAAUCUGUUCUUGCUGCAUCAGCCUUUGCUUAUGCUAUUCAAAUGCACGGAGCAUCAAAUCUGGAUGUUUUAUUAUAAUACAGAAAAGAAAUCUGAAUUCCAAGCAAAGACUUGAGAAUUGAGUGUCUACAAUAAGGUUUAAUUACAGAAAAUUUUAUACUUACCCUGUGUCUGUCCAUCUGUCUCUGUCACAGAUUUCCACUAUGACUCCAAAAACAAGAACAAUGAGGAAAAAGUUUUUGACUGAUUUUAUGUAGGACUUAAAACACCUAGAGAAAGUGUUCAGCUCUGAGCUAGGAAAUUCUCCCCGCCCCCAUAACCUUAGAUGAACAUCACUGUCCUUUGUCAAUAUCUAUCUAUCUAUCUAUUUAUUUACUUAAUUUAUUUUUGGAAGGGGAUUGGGGAUUGAACUCAUUGGCAUAUGACCGCUGAGCCACAUCCUCAGCCCUAUUUUGUAUUUUAUGUAGAAACAGAGUCUUAAUGAGUUGCUUAGGGCCUUGCAGUUGUGGAGGCUAGCUUUGAACUCACAAUCAUCCUGCCUUGGCCUCUUGAGCUGCUAGGAUAACAGGCAAAUGUCAAAACAUUCAGCUGACAAUGUCCUUUGCUCGGUAGUUAGUUAAGAAAAAAUUUCUCAGGAUUUUGUGUCCACAAAAAACAUUCCAAAAAUGUUGAUGUCACACUUCAGGCAUCAUGUUCUGGGUUUAAAAAUGCCCUGCAUGAUACAACUUAGCUUUGAACAUCAAAUGCAGAUUUCACAAUUUUGAAACCAGGCGAUUAAGAAAUAAAGGUGUUGAACAGCAAAAUGCAGCACAUCCUGUU
rnacentral:lncRNA from 1 species